rnacentral:rRNA from 1 species
UACGGAGGAUGCGAGCGUUAUCCGGAUUUAUCGGGUUUAAAGGGUGCGCAGGCGGCACGGCAAGCCGGCGGUCAAAUCGCGGGGCUCAACCCCGCCCAGCCGUCGGAACUGCCGGGCUAGAGUGGGCGAGAAGUGCGCGGAAUGCGUGGUGUAGCGGUGAAAUGCAUAGAUAUCACGCAGAACUCCGAUUGCGAAGGCAGCGCACCGGCGCCCUACUGACGCUCAGGCACGAAAGCGUGGGUAUCGAACAGG